AUCCAAUUGACGAGUUCUACAUAGGACGAAGUGUCGCGCAUCUUGGAU
rnacentral:hammerhead_ribozyme from 1 species